ensembl:snRNA U7 U7 small nuclear RNA
GAGUGUUGUUCUUUUAGAAUUUGUCUAGCAGGUUUUCUGAUCUUCACUGGAAAGCUUUA